rnacentral:lncRNA from 1 species
UGAUGAAUGUCAACAUAGACAAAGCAUGACCAAAGGCUCUAUAGUAAUACUGGCUGGAGAAGAAAGGUUUGAAUAUUUGGAACAUCUUUAGACAGGUUCCAUAUAUCCUUUUUUGAACCCUUCAGUCUUUUUUAUGUGUAUACCUGUCAGAAAUAUUAAUUUUUUCAUAAGCAUAAUCCUGCCAAUGGAAUGUGUGUGUCUGUUUAAAACAAGUUGAAUCUAACUCCUUUAAGAAAAAGCUAUGAAAAUAAAUACUACUUUUUCUCUUGUAAAACAUUGUACAACAUUGUCAGGGCUGAGAAAAAAGAGGAAAGCAGUGUAUGUGCCUCAUUCCCAGUAUGAGACAAAGAGAUUAAGUCCCCCAAAAAAACAUAACUACUUUUCAUGUGUCACAAUAAUUUACAAAAAAGGUUGGAGAUUACACAGCACUUUGUAGUAAUUUGUGUAAAACAUUUUGCUGGUACGGGGUGGUUCAUAAUUCUAGAAGGCCUGUGCUUUUGUGGUAACAUAUAACAGGGUUUAGAUGGUGCCUAAGAUAGAUCUUACUGAAGAGUCCACUCUAUAGGGCAGUAUAUUAAGUUGCAGUUUGUGGAAUUGUAAAACAUGUUUCAGCAGAGUGUUACAUACAGAGUAGGGAGUGUACAGCCUUACAGUGUAGAUGAGUUACAUUGUUUUUGAAAGGUGAUGCUCUUUGAACUUUUUCAGUUUGCCGAAUAGUGCAUGACUUUUAGGAAACACCAUCAGCCCAUGCCACAUAACUCCUUUUGAGAGAGAGAGGGGUGGGGGAGAUUGGGAUUUUAAAACAAGUUUGCAAACUGUUUUUUCUGGCUUUUUCAAAUAUUCCCAGUGUUGCUUAUUUCUCCUUCCUUCUUCUCUCCCUGUACUCCCCUUCCUACCCCUCUUCAGUUUGAAAUCUUCCCUACAUUUUGUCCAUUGCCCUUUUGUGUCUUCUGUCCUCUAUCCUCAUUUCUAGAGCUCCUUCUGCACUAAGUACCCCUCACCGUGGACCGUUUCUUCUGUUCUGGUGUCUUCGGAUAUGUCAGGUUAUAUAUAUACUCCAGUUUAAGGAUUUGGAGAUGGACCCACAAGUGAGAAUAUUUGGCAUUUGUUUUCUGGGUCUGGGUUACCUCACCAGUGUUUAAUUUUCAGCCCCCCUCAACUUAACUUGAAAACUUCAUUUUUUUUUCUUCUAAAUAGCUGAAUAGAAUUCCAUGAUGCAUACAUAUUAUAUUUCUAUUCCUCUCGGUUGGAAGAGAUUCUGGUUAUUUAUAUUUCCUGACUGUUGUGAAUAGACAGCAGCAAAUGUGCCUGAGCAAGUGUCUCUGAAUGAUAAUGAGUCCUUAGGGCAUAUGCCAAGGAGAGGUAUAGCUGGGUCAUGGUGGAUUUGUUUUUAGCCUUUUGAGAUUUUUCUACACUGAUUUCCAGUUUUUCAUCCUACCAACAGUGAGUGUAGGUCCCCUUUUCCCUGCAUCCUCACCAGGAUUCAUUGUCUUUUCUUUAUCUCAUCCAUUCUGAGUGAAGUAAGAUGAAAUCUUACAAUAGUUUCAGUUUGCAUUUCUUUAAUUGCUAAGACGCUGAACACUAUUGAACAACUACACAGAUGCCAGGCAUGGAGACCCUCCCCCAAGUCAUUAUUUGGGGGGACACAAAUCUCCCCAAACAGUAUGGACUUUUUCUAUUGCCUAUUGUUAUUCUCCAGAGCUUGAAGGCUAACACUUUAUUGCUGAAGACUCUAUACUCUUCAGACACAGGACUAGGAGGUAUUAAGCUGGAAUUGAUCUGGAAACUGCCUUCUUGAGGGCUGGUUCUCAUGAUGUUGGUGGGUAGUGUGUGGCCUGCCAAGGUAAAGGAGCAACUGACAAUUCUACCCAGGUGAAAAACCUACAAGACACAACGACCACAUUGACAAGAUAGUCACAAUGGUCCAGUAGCAGAUUUAUCUUGAGAAUAAUGAAAAUCUGUCUAAUUGGAUUUACAGCCUACUCAGAAGGAAGGGGUUCAUGCCUGGUACUAUAGACCAGCGGACUACCCAUAAGCAGAGAGGUUAUAGACCUGAGAGGAGAACCUACCAUUUUCCUAAAUCAAUAUAAUAUGUAACUGCAUUCUAAAGACUUAUCAUUAUACCUAUAAGUAAGUGUAGCUCUCACCCAUUCAUCAAAGAAGCAUCUUUUUGCAUCAGAUAGAGACUAUAACAGGGAUCCACACAUUGUUAAAAAUGUGAAGGAUAAGUGAUUUUAGGGUGUCCAACCCCUGUACGUAAAGCUCAGGAAAAUCACAGAAGAGGGUCAGAGGGGUUGUAAGUCAAUAAUCCCAGGGCUCCUGCUAGGAGAGUGUGUUCCCUAGACGUGACAUGGAAAUUGCAUACAUGAAAUCUUACUAGUAUGCUCCUCCCCUAGAUGAUGAGCUAUAGGCAGUCAGUGGCUGCUGAGAGGGAGAAAGUGUCCUUCAGGGAUGGGCUCAUGAAGUUCCAGUGGUUACCUUGGAUAUGUGUACAUAUGAACGGCUGUAAGAGGAUGCAGCCUGCUAAACAUUUACGUCUAAGUGUGAGCAUAUGGACAUUAGUAGGAACUAAAGAGGAAGUCAUGAAUUUGGGAAGGAGAUUUGGGGCACAGGAAUUGUUGAGUGUAGGCAGGCAGAGUGCCAGCUAUAAUUACAGUUGGUAACAACAUGACUAGCAAAUGCAUUUCUUUUUGAUAUGCAAGUUUAUUCUGCUGUAGAUGCCAGUGUUUGUACCUUUAAUAUUCUUUAAGUGCAUAAACAUGUGUUUAUUAAACUUUACCUUAAUCACUGAAUUGUAUGCAGCCGACUGGAAGGUUUUUGGUGAACUUUUUGUUUUACUCUUAAUUGUCCCUAAAAUUUUUUUAAUCUAACUUAAGGGUUCCUUUCUCUGCUCUCUUUCUUUCCUUUUGUAAUUCAUGCUAAGUGGUGUUUGUCUCCUGUGGGAACAUGUGCCAGUAUUAGAAGUCACUGCUUAUCUUAGGGAUAUUAAUAGAAAUCUGUUCAUGUCCAGGAUUAUUCAUUUUUAAAUGAAAUGAACCAAUUAUGAAGUGUCCUUUAAGGAUAGAUACAUAUUAGUUCUGAUACAGAGAACUUUUUUGAAGUAUUUAUUUACAAUGAACAGAUGAGCUAAUUAUAGAACUUAGAAGCAAAAGUAGGGGUUUGCUUUGAGUUUGAGGCAUUGACUAAACUGCUAGGAUACUUGCUAACUUCUAGAAACUUAAAAAAAAUCUGGAAAUGGUCUGAGUGCUUUUAGAAAUAGACAUCCGUGAGAAUAUGUUUUAUUCCACACAUUUUAUUAACACUAACAGUAACUGGCUUACUCUUUUUUACUAGAAGGCUAAUAGCUAUAGAUGUUUCCUUCCUGUUUAAAAGCCAGAUGUUGGUUUCCAGUCUUCCCAGGACUUGUCCUCAUCUUGUGUGCGGUGGACGUGUCCUUCCUUCAUCUGUUCCUUCUUUAUUGUCUUUGUCCUGAUUCCUUUGUCUCUUCUGUCACAAAAGAAACUCCUCCAUUUUACCCUUGCUGUGACACGCUUGCUGCUCAGUGUCCUAACUUCCUGUCUCACCUUUCCUUGGAUUCUUUCCUGUCUUAGGCUGAUAAGAUAGGCUGUCCACUUUCCUCCCUGUUCAUAGCCCACAUAUCUGUCACUCUGACAGUACUAUCCUCUGUCUUUUAUUUUCUAAUCAUUAAAUAAGAAGGAUCUUUAACCUUCCAUUCUCUUUUUAAAAAAUUUUUAUUGGAUAUUUUCUUUAUUUACAUUUCAAAUGUCAUCCCUUUUCCCGGUUUCCUCCCACCCCCUCUGAAACUCCCUGUCCCCUCCUCCUUCCUCCCCCUGCUUCUAUGAGGGUGCUCCCCCACCCACUCCUGCCUCCCUGCUCUCGCAUUCCCUUACAUUGGGGCAUUGAGCCUUUACAGGACCAAGGGCCUCUUUUCCCACUGAUGCACAGUAAGGCCAGCCUCUGCUACAUAUGCAGCUGGAGCCCUGGGUCCCCGUGUGUACUCCUUGGUUGGUGGCUUAGUCCCUGGGAGCUUUGGGGUGUUUGGUUGGUUGGAAUUGUUUUCUUCAUGUGGGGCUGCACAGACCUUUCUCUAACUCCAAUGGGACACCAUGCUCAGUGCAAUCAUUAGGUGGCUGAGAGCACCCACCUCUGUAUUUGUCAGGCUCUGGCAGAGCCUCUAAGUAAACAGCUAUAUCAGGCUCCUUUUAGCAAGCACUUCUUGGCAUUCACAAUAGUGUCUGACUUUGGUGACUGUAUAUGGGAUGGAUCCCCAGGUAGGGCAGUCUCUGGAUGGCCUUUCCACAGUCUGUGCUCCACACUUUGUCUCUGUAUUUGAUCCUGUGAAUAUUUUGUUCCUUCUUUUAAGACGGACAGAGGUACCCACACCUUGGUCUUCCUUAUUGUGCUUUAUGUGGUCUGUGAGCUGUAUCUUGGGUAUUUCGAGCUUUUGCGCUAAUAUAUACUUACUUAUCAGUGAGUGUAUUCCGUGAGUGUUCUUUUGUGAUUGGGUUACCUCACUCAGGAUAUUUUCUAGUUCCAUCCAUUUGCCUAAGAAUUUCAUGAAGUCAUUGUUUUUAAUAGCUGAAUAGUACUCCAUUGUGUAAAUGUACCACAUCUGUAUCCAUUCCUCUGUUGAAAGACAUCUGGGUUGUUUCCAGUUUCUGGCCAUUAUAUAUAAAACUGCUGUGAACAUAGUGGAGCCUGUGUCCUUGUUAUAUGUUGGAGAAUCUUUUGGGAAUAUGUAAUGUACUAUGUCCAAUUUUCUGAGGACCCACCAGACUGAUUUCCAGAGUGGUUGUACCAGCUUACAAUCCCACCAACAAUGGAGGAAUGUUCCUCUUUCUCCACUUCGCCACAUCUUUGCCAACAGAUGCUGUCACCUGAGUUUUUAAUCUGGCCUUCCAUUCUUUGUGACUAGAAUCUUACUCUUUGUCUCUGUUUUCCUGGGGUGUCAAGUUGUUUUUGUAAGGAUAGGAAAGAGGCCAGAGUGAAUACUUGCCAACUACAUGAACUUGAAGCCAUGCUGGUUAAACUGAGGUAGUAUGGUUAAUGUAGCUUUAAAUGCUUAACCUGGAAGCACGGUAAGCAUUGAACCUUUUUUAAAAAGUAUUGGUUACUUAAAAAAAUAUGAAGUUAUUCAUUUAUUGUUAUGGAGAAAGUUGUUCCCAUUCAUAUUGAUGGGCUGGCAUGGAAGGUUAGAAUGCUUCCAUAGUUCAGGACACCUAGUUUCAAGAUGAAACUUUAGAGUAUAACUUUUUGUAAUUCAGAAGCCAAGACUUGAAUAAUAUUUACUAUCUAUAGUUUUUCUUUUUAAUAAAUAUAUUUUAGUUUAUUCUUACAGGAAAUUUUCACAGC